GGAUGAUUGGGGUGAAGUCGUAACAAGGUUUCCGUAGGUGAACCUGCAGAAGGAUCA
rnacentral:rRNA from 1 species